rnacentral:lncRNA from 1 species
AAAAACCUUCAACAUGGUCACAAAUUUGACCUUAUUUGGAUUUGGGAUGAAUGAGUUAUGCAUUUUUGAAGUUGAGGAAAAUUAUUUGUUCAAUGGUAUAGGUCCAAAAUGACCUAUAAUGUAUCCUCAUAUCACAUGCUCAUAAAAGUUGAAUUAGAUCUUCCUCCAAACAUCAAAGUUGAAGUAGACACAUUGAACUUGAUUUUGAAACUUUUAAAUCUUUCAUAUCAUACAAAUUGAGCAAGUUAUGGCCUUGGGAAGUUG